AUUUCCUCAAUUUAAUCCAUUGCUUGCCUAGCAAAGUAAACAAUAAUAAUAAAAAAGGUUGUUCUCCUUACAGAUGCAUGAGGUUGCAUAGCACAUUUUAAGAAGAGGGAGAAAAAUAUGUAGGAGUGUAUGGAAAGAAAAAAGGAAGCAAUAAACCUUGGAUGUGAUUAUGGAGCAGAUAAACCAAGAAAGAAUACCUGAUUAUCUCACUUUUUUUCUCUUUCAAAUCCUUCGGAACAAAGAUAUCAACUUUGGGGAUGUGGGCAAUGAUGGACCAAUAAUCUCCUUUCUCUUUCAAGCAUCGUUCCUCCAGAAGAGGGCUGCUACGGAUACGUAUACAUCCAAGUGAGAGAGGGAAGCCCUCCCUGGGGAAGAACCGGAGUAUAGGGCACUCAAAAAUGUUUAAUACUUCAAGGGAGGUGAGGUGUUGGAGGCCUCUGGAUAUCGAUUUAAGAUUCUCCUGAUUAGAGAUCUCAAGAAAAGUUAACGAAGGGGGAGGCAGCAGACCUUCAUCAUCCGGAAAGCGAUCCACAUCCAUUGUAGAUUCGACUGAGAAUCGUUUAAGAGAGGUGAGCAUGCGGAGUCCCCACUCAGAUAUUGGCAGUGAAAUUUUGCAAUUAAGAAUUUCAAGUGAAGUCAGGUUAGGUGGCAAACCCCUUUCCGUAACAUUUUUCAACGUGAAGCUUUUUGAGGGAAGGAACGCAACUUGGCAAAUCUCCAAUCAACCUCGGACAAUUCAUCAAGGUAAGCUCACUGAGUUUAGGAAAUUUUCCCACAGUACUUUCAUUGACACCGUCAGACCACAACCACUGCUCCCACCCCAACAUAUUUCUGAUGUAUAAAGUCACAAGAGAUUGGAAAUCCUCAGCAUACACUUCUUUCACCCCAUCCAUUCCUUCUAUGCUCAAAUGCCUUAGAGCAGGGAGUUUUCCAACCGAUGAAAGUGAUGUGAUCUUCCGACAAGUAGAAAGCUUUAGGUGCACAAUUUUAGAAAAACAGCUAUCCCCUAUCCAUGAUGGAAACUCGGUACCGCCAUAUGAUGUAACUGAAAGCUUUUCUAGACUUCGGUGAGGCUUUAAUGAGUCGAAGACAUGCAGUUCAUUCC